rnacentral:rRNA from 1 species
GAUGAACGCUGGCGGCGUGCCUAAUACAUGCAAGUCGAGCGAACGGACGAGAAGCUUGCUUCUCUGAUGUUAGCGGCGGACGGGUGAGUAACACGUGGAUAACCUACCUAUAAGACUGGGAUAACUUCGGGAAACCGGAGCUAAUACCGGAUAAUAUUUUGAACCGCAUGGUUCAAAAGUGAAAGACGGUCUUGCUGUCACUUAUAGAUGGAUCCGCGCUGCAUUAGCUAGUUGGUAAGGUAACGGCUUACCAAGGCAACGAUGCAUAGCCGACCUGAGAGGGUGAUCGGCCACACGGGAACUGAGACACGGUCCAGACUCCUACGGGAGGCAGCAGUAGGGAAUCUUCCGCAAUGGGCGAAAGCCUGACGGAGCAACGCCGCGUGAGUGAUGAAGGUCUUCGGAUCGUAAAACUCUGUUAUUAGGGAAGAACAUAUGUGUAAGUAACUGUGCACAUCUUGACGGUACCUAAGCAGAAAGCCACGGCUAACACGUG